CGAAUACCCGAGAAAUACCACGGCCGGACCAUCGUCACGAGAUGUCCCCAAGGCCAGCGAAUGGGUCAGCGUCACCGACACACUUGGGCGGUAUAGUCCACUGGAAGCAGCCCUCGGCGAGUGAUGUCGUUACUGUCCAGAGGGGUAACCAUCGCCAAGGUAGUUACGCUGACAGAUGAGAACGUGAGAAGGGCGACAAAGCGUCUUCACAGAUGGGUCAGUGCGGCGUGGGGUUAAAUCCUGAUGGGCCCUCUGUGCCCGUGAAAACGGAGUCACACAGAGAAAGCAGUUUGGUGCCACCAGGCCACGCCCAGCACGUGCAUGGAUUGAAGGCCACCACAGAAGCCUCAAACUGGAUUUAGGCGACGGAGUGUCAUACUGCCAUCCUUGUCACCGACUCGAUGAGCACCCUCGAAAAGGUGAAGAAACCCAUGCUGUAUGCAGACUGGCUAGAGGUGAUGCCAAGCAGCAGACUCACAAAGGCAGCAUGGAUCCCGAGCCCUGGUCAUGUAGGACUUUGAGGCAAAAAUGAACGUGUUGAUGAGCUGGCCGGCAAGCUAAUCAGCACGUUCAUUGCCUCAAACUCCUUAUUGACCAUUGCUCAAGAUCUGUUCAGCCCUUGCGAGUCGCUGCUUUGCGUCAAAUCUAGCCAGUCUGCACACAGGAUGGGUCUCUUUACCUGUUCGAGGGCACUCAUUGGGUCAAUGACUAGGAUGGCAGUCGGACAUUCCAUGGCCCUUUUCCAGUCAGAGGCUUUUGUGACAGCUCUCAUCUCCAUGCACAUGCUAGACGUGGUUACUGGUGACACCUAACUGCUCUCUCUGCAUGACCCCGCUAACACGGACGCCGAAAGCCCAUCAGGACUUGACCCCACAAUGCAUCGAACCAUCCGCGAAGACGCACUGUCUCCCCUCUCACUGUCCCCUCUAUCAGCAUCUCCACCCUCGGCUUUGGCUGCCACCUCCGGCCACUCACGACAUUCUCUGCCUUGGGUUACUUCCACGGGUAUGCUGCCCGAGUGAUCGUCAAGACCGGAAGAAGGACUUCCAACCCGAGGAUCGCUUAAGAUGCAUGUUAAUCCUCCUCAGAAGGACCCCUCUGCUGGAGCGGAGGACGAUCGGGACGACUACC